UGGAGUUUCUCCUUGCCAUAACUCUGCCCAUCCGCUCUGCAGCACCUGGAGCAAAGCCCAGCAGGAGGCAAGGUCAUGCUGACCGAAGCCGUAACAUCAUCAAGAAGGAAGUCAACAGGAACACAGAGGACGAAGAAGAAGAAAUUCCCAUAAACACCACUGGCUGCUGCUAAAAUUAAAUGGGAAGGGUGCUGGUUCCUAAUUUACUAUUCCUUCCUGCGAUUUCCCAUCCGCUGGGCUCAUGCCUGCGCUGUGAGAGCAGCUCCCUGGGAUGGAUGGCUUUCUGCAGCAGCUGUUCCUGGGGAGCGGCAAGCUGACAUUGCACGGCAGGACUCAUCCUACUCAACACAGGUGCCCGUCCUCCCCGCCACGUCUAGCCCCUGGCCAAAGGCAGCUGCCCGAAGGCGCUGCCCACAGCCAGGCUCCUGCAAGCCCCCCGGCGCAGGCAUGCAUGGGGGGAGCCGAGGAGCUGCAGCUGGGGACCGGGGCUGCGGGAUGGCCCGUUUGCCUCCAACAGCUCCUGCAACUCAUGGGAGUGGGAUCACGCAAGUCUUUCUGCCUGCUCUUACCCCCUGUUUAUUUCGGAGGCUGGCUUUUCUUCUCCUGCCAUCCUCAUUUUAGUAUUGUUAGAAAGUAGUUACAACUGAAAUAAAUGUGGCUGAAGCUCGUGGUUUACAAAAAACUAUUUAUACAACAGGAAGGAAGUCCCACAGCUCUCUUGG